GACGAACGCUGGCGGCGUGCUUAACACAUGCAAGUCGAACGGAAAGGCCCUGCUUUUGUGGGGUGCUCGAGUGGCGAACGGGUGAGUAACACGUGAGUAACCUGCCCUUGACUUUGGGAUAACUUCAGGAAACUGGGGCUAAUACCGGAUAGGAGCUCCUGCUGCAUGGUGGGGGUUGGAAAGUUUCGGCGGUUGGGGAUGGACUCGCGGCUUAUCAGCUUGUUGGUGGGGUAGUGGCUUACCAAGGCUUUGACGGGUAGCCGGCAUGAGAGGGUGACCGGCCACAUUGGGACUGAGAUACGGCGCAGACUCCUACGGGAGGCAGAAGUGGGGAAUAUUGCACAAUGGGCGGAAGCCUGAUGAAGCAACGCCGCGUGCGGGAUGACGGCCUUCGGGUUGUAAACCGCUUUCGCAUGUGACGAAGCGUGAGUGACGGUAAUGGGUAAAGAAGCACCGGCUAACUACGUG
rnacentral:rRNA from 1 species